rfam:Helianthus annuus linkage group 17, whole genome shotgun sequence.
CGGUUAGGGGAAUGAUGUAUUAUUACCGGGCUUUAAAAAUGCUCGCUUUUCUUGAUUCGGCUGCUGAGGUGGACAUUCG